GACGAACGCUGGCGGCGUGCUUAACACAUGCAAGUCGAGCGGUAAGGCACUUUGGUGUACACAAGCGGCGAACGGGUGAGUAACACGUGAGUAAUCUGCCCUUCACUCUGGGAUAAGCACUCGAAAGGGUGUCUAAUACCGGAUACGACCUACCUCCGCAUGGGGUGUGGGUGGAAACUUUUGUGGGUGGGGGAUGUGCUCGCGGCCUAUCAGCUUGUUGGUGGGGUAAUGGCCUACCAAGGCUUUGACGGGGAGCCGGCCUGAGAGGGUGACCGGCCUAGAGUGGAGUGAGACACGGCCCAGACUCCUACGGGAGGCAACAGUGCGGAAUAUUGGACAGUGGGCGGAAGCCUGAUCCAGCAACGCCGCGUUAGGGAUGACGGCCUUCGGGUUGUAAACCGCUUUCUUCAUCGACGAAGCUUCACGUUGAGUGGGGUGACGGUAGGUGGAGAAGAAGCACCGGCCAACUACGUGCCAGCAGCCGCCGUAAAAC
rnacentral:rRNA from 1 species